rnacentral:rRNA from 1 species
AAUAUUGGACAAUGGGGGCAACCCUGAUCCAGCCAUGCCGCGUGUGUGAAGAAGGUCUUCGGAUUGUAAAGCACUCUAUGUUGGGAGGAAGGGCUUUAGUUUAUUACCCGGAAGUUUUGACGUUACCAACAGAAUAAGCCCCGGCUAACUCUGUGCCAGCGGCCGCGGUAAUACAGAGGGUGCAAGCGUUAAUCGGAAUUACUGGGCGUAAAGCGAGCGUAGGUGGUUCAGUAAGAUGGGUGUGAAAUCCCCGGGCUUAACCUGGGAACUGCUUUCAUAACUGCUGAGCUAGAGUACGGUAGAGGGUAGUGGAAUUUCCUGUGUAGCGGUGAAAUGCGUAGAUAUAGGAAGGAACACCAGUGGCGAAGGCGACUACCUGGACUGAUACUGACACUGAGGUGCGAAAGCGUGGGGAGCAAACAG